rnacentral:lncRNA from 1 species
GGAGUCUAAUUCAAAACCCCCAAACCACCACUUGCAGAGUUAGCAACUCAUCAGCUUCUACAGGUGCACGGCAAUGAACGCGAGAAGGUUUUUAGCUACACUAGCACCGAACAUCUGAGAGCAGAAUCUGUUUCCCAGGAUUCACCAUGACCCUUUCCAAACAGCUCUAGAGUCUUGUUUUUGUCAUUCAGACUGCAUGGCUGAUUCCCCAGGCAGAAAACAGUGAAAGGAAGACAUCUUGUAAAUCUGCCCCUUAACUCAGCCCUGCCAGAAGUGACCGAGGUCGGCUCUAGCCGGUCUCCUGUCCUCUCUGUGACUUCGAGGCCGAAGUUGCCUGAGUCGUCCAUUCCUGAAGAGAGGAGGCAGAGCCAACCUCUUGUUCCCGCAGAACUGAUUUGAUAUCGAUUUGAAUAAAGGCAUCUGCUGCCAUUUUAUUAAGCGCCCUAUUUAAUCUCCAUGUCCCUGCUUCCACUUUCUCUUAAUAUCAACUGUCCUUGUCCCCUUUCAAAGUCAGAGUGACUCGGAAUCGCUUCAGGACUCUAUUCAGUGUGGCCUCUCAGAUGUGAGUUAGAACCUGAACCUACACCAGAAUUUCCUCCUUUUCUUUCUGCAGUUAUUUUUUUCUCCACAAUUUUCUUUUUGAGUAUUUUAAAUACUUAAAAAUGUACGUCAAUCAAAAGAAACUACCGAAAAAAACCCCACAAAACUACCAAGUGUCGCAAAUGUUUUGUGUACAAUACCCUUGCAGAAUGUGAGCAAAAUGUCUUUAGAGUGCGGCUUUCAGCUUUCAAACUGAGACAUGCUCAAAUGAGAGGGGGAAAAAUCCCCACGGCCCAGAGAUGCGGACCAACCCAUCUCCGGAGCGGAAGGAAGGGUGGGGCACAGUGGCGCGCCGGCCUUAGAGACGGGAUGUGAAUGAGCACUUCGAUGCACACCUCACUUUAGCUACGGGAAAAUUACCAGGCAG